rnacentral:rRNA from 1 species
CUACGUGCCAGCAGCCGCGGUAAUACGGAAGGUUCGGGCGUUAUCCGGAUUUAUUGGGUUUAAAGGGAGCGUAGGCCGGAGAUUAAGUGUGUUGUGAAAUGUAGACGCUCAACGUCUGACUUGCAGCGCAUACUGGUUUCCUUGAGUACGCACAACGUUGGCGGAAUUCGUCGUGUAGCGGUGAAAUGCUUAGAUAUGACGAAGAACUCCGAUUGCGAAGGCAGCUGACGGGAGCGCAACUGACGCUGAAGCUCGAAGGUGCGGGUAUCGAACAGGAUUAGAUACCCUGGUAGUCCGCACAGUAAACGAUGGAUGCCCGCUGUUGGUACCUGGUAUCAGCGGCUAAGCGAAAGCAUUAAGCAUCCCACCUGGGGAGUACGCCGGCAACGGUGAAACUCAAAGGAAUUGACGGGGGCCCGCACAAGCGGAGGAACAUGUGGUUUAAUUCGAUGAUACGCGAGGAACCUUACCCGGGCUUGAAUUGCAGAGGAAGGAUUUAGAGAUA